rnacentral:rRNA from 1 species
AGUGAACGCUGGCGGUAGGCCUAACACAUGCAAGUCGAACGGCAGCACAGUAAGAGCUUGCUCUUACGGGUGGCGAGUGGCGGACGGGUGAGGAAUACAUCGGAAUCUACUUUUUCGUGGGGGAUAACGUAGGGAAACUUACGCUAAUACCGCAUACGACCUACGGGUGAAAGCAAGGGAUCUUCGGACCUUGCGCGAUUGAAUGAGCCGAUGUCGGAUUAGCUAGUUGGCGGGGUAAAGGCCCACCAAGGCGACGAUCCGUAGCUGGUCUGAGAGGAUGGUCAGCCACACUGGAACUGAGACACGGUCCAGACUCCUACGGGAGGCAGCAGUGGGGAAUAUUGGACAAUGGGCGCAAGCCUGAUCCAGCCAUACCGCGUGGGUGAAGAAGGCCUUCGGGUUGUAAAGCCCUUUUGUUGGGAAAGAAAAGCAGCAGGUUAAUACCCCGCUGUUCUGACGGUACCCAAAGAAUAAGCACCGGCUAACUUCGUG